UUUUAAAUUAGAAGUGGUACAGGAUUUUUUUCUUCUUUCUUUAAAAAAAAGUGACAAAAAUCCCAGUGACUUUUGGGGGAGAGAUAUGAAUAGAUACGAUGAUUGAGUUUUUUCAAAGGAGUCCAUGUUUGAUUCUCCCCUUUGCCCAGCCUUUUCGGUGAUUUGUAAUUGUUGUAAAUUUUAUCGUCACUGUUUCCCCCUUUUCCUCGCCUUUCCCUCCCCCCAUUGCUCAGUUGUAAAAUUCAUCUGACUUGAGAAAUUAAUUUGGGGAAAAUGGAACGAAUUUUUACAAUAAAGGGGAAAGAGUCAAGUCUGAAGAUUGUGAAAUGGUUUUCUGUUCUCUCCCAUUUCAGCGAUUCCCUUCCUGCAUGAUCUCCAACACUGAUAAAGUAGAAGCAGCAGGUACGGUGGAAGAGAAAAGUGACUGAGACUGAGAGAAAGAAAGAGCUCUUUGACAGGAGAACGUGGCAGCCGAGUAAGUGAGUGGAUGUGAUGUGGUAGAGCUGGGAGCACUAGGGAGGCUCCGCCGUGAAGACUGAAACAAAGAGAAAAAGGCAAGGCACUGCCUUUUCUUCUGUCAUCUUUUCUUCAUUCCUGCCUACAUUCCUGCAGCCAAAAAGUUGGUAACCAUGAGGACAACAAUGAGGAGACGGGAGAAACCUGGUACACUGAUGACCUAGCAGAUUCACUAUUGCACUAGCUCCAUACCUCUUAUUAUGUGAAUAAAAUUAACACCUUGUAGGGUUAGGCUUCUGCUACAAA